GGGGUCUCCAUCCCAGAGGCUGGGGGGAAGGGGGAGUGCCCAGCAGCGAAGGCAUGUGUAAGAGUUCUCAGAAUGCAGAGUCCAGGGUGUAGAAGGAUGCGACGGGAGAGUGAUGAAGGAAACUGGGAGCAGGCAAGGGUCCAAGGCCAGAUAAGGGACAAACAACACCACGGCCACCCCCAACAACAUGUCUGGCUCCGAGUGUUCCCAGGAGCAUCCACCCUGAGCCAGACCCUCUGCUGGGUACAAGAUGGCAAAGAAGUAAAAGAGACAUAUCUUGACUCUCAGUCCAAAUGAAUAAAUGGUUUGGAGCAA